CCUACGGGAGGCAGCAGUGGGGAAUCUUGCGCAAUGGGGGAAACCCUGACGCAGCAACGCCGCGUGCGGGAUGAAGGCCUUCGGGUCGUAAACCGCUUUCAGCAGGAACGAUCAUGACGGUACCUGCAGAAGAAGCCCCGGCUAACUACGUGCCAGCAGCCGCGGUAAU
rnacentral:rRNA from 1 species